AUGAACAUCAGUUCCCCCACCUCCACCAACAAUCUCAAUGUUUCCAUCACCUUACUCAUGCUACUACACUCCCCACAAUCAACGAAGGAACAAUAUUUUUCUCCCUUACACCAUGGAAACGUUCACCAGCGUGGCCAUUGCCACUAUCACAAAUGGCACCACAAGGAUUCAUCACCAUCAUCACCUUCUAACGAAAUCAGGGAGGAAGAAGACCAUCUCAUCAGGAACACCUUCAAGCGUAGAAAAAUCAAGUAUGUUGCCUAUAUGGAGCUCCAAAAAAAACUGAGGGAUAGGUAUAUAUCACUUGACGACAAACCCUAA